GCUGGUCUGUGACGUCAGGAGAAGCCAAACUGCCUAUUUGGAUCAGAGUAAUAGUUUAUUCGUAGGUGGAAGUUUGAAUAACGUAGGCCUAUAAAUGUGGGCUUGAAGCGGAACCAGUGGUAUUCGGAGGUCUCUACAGGAGCUGAUGUUGCUGCCUUUAGUAAUCACGUUAACUACAUCUUCUAUAAGGGUGAGCAAGAAGAUGGGAGACUAUGUUUGCAGAAUACCCAGCGGGCAAGGAACAAAAGGGGUAUCCUUCAUCUCUGGGCUAUGUUUCGGCGACAUCUAAAGGACAUUCUCACAAGUGUUAGUUAACUUCGUAACUUCUCUUAACUUCGCAUGGAGAAACCUUGAAGAAACUGUAGGCUGAAAACUGGAAAAAUUCCAGGUGCAUAAAAUAUUUCUGCAAAUAUUGUCCGUAGAUUUGUCUUAAAAUACAUCGAAAUAUAUU